UGCGGUCAUACUGCUGGGAUCCUGGCAGAGACAACCUACCUUCCAUAGAGGGGACACGUCACCCCAGGAUUCUGCCACAGGACUUUUGGAGAAUGAGUGACCUGGAAGACGAUGCCAAAGACACUUCCUCCUGCCCCGUUCUUAGCAGAUGAUGUGGCUUCCUCCUUCUGUGACGCACUGCAGCAGCCCCUCCUCGAGGUCCAGAGCCCUAGGCCUUCCAUGCUCCCAGGCUCAGUACUAGACUCCUGGUCACCCCAACAUCUUUAUUUUUGCCUCCCUGCUCUGGGGGUUGUAGCUUCUUCCUUCACCAACUCUGUUACUUCAGUAUCCCUUUUGCACUUUCAGCCCUCAAACCCCAAGUAAAUACGCUUUCACUUCCCUUUCUUGAGAUACUA
rnacentral:lncRNA from 1 species